rnacentral:rRNA from 2 species
UCGACGAGAUUUUAUUAAUUGAUUACUUCGGUAUGAUUUUUCUAAAAUCGAGUGGCGGACGGGUGAGUAACACGUGGGUAACCUGCCCUUAAGUAGGGGAUAACAUUUGGAAACAGAUGCUAAUACCGUAUAAAUCUCAGAAACACAUGUUUCUGAGCUGAAAGGCGGCUUUCGAGCUGUCGCUUUUGGAUGGACCCGCGGCGUAUUAGCUAGUUGGUGAGGUAAAGGCUCACCAAGGCAGUGAUACGUAGCCGACCUGAGAGGGUGAUCGGCCACAUUGGGACUGAGACACGGCCCAAACUCCUACGGGAGGCAGCAGUAGGGAAUCUUCCACAAUGGACGAAAGUCUGAUGGAGCAACGCCGCGUGAGUGAAGAAGGUUUUCGGAUCGUAAAACUCUGUUGUUGGAGAAGAACACGUUUGAGAGUAACUGUUCAGACGUUGACGGUAUCCAACCAGAAAGCCACGGCUAACUACGUGCCAGCAGCCGCGGUAAUACGUAGGUGGCAAGCGUUAUCCGGAUUUAUUGGGCGUAAAGCGAGCGCAGGCGGUUUCUUAAGUCUGAUGUGAAAGCCUUCGGCUUAACCGAAGAAGUGCAUCGGAAACUGGGGAACUUGAGUGCAGAAGAGGACAGUGG